rnacentral:rRNA from 1 species
UACGUAGGGUGCAAGCGUUGUCCGGAAUUAUUGGGCGUAAAGAGCUCGUAGGCGGUCUGUCGCGUCGGAUGUGAAAAUCCAGGGCUCAACCCUGGACCUGCAUUCGAUACGGGCAGACUAGAGUUCGGCAGGGGAGACUGGAAUUCCUGGUGUAGCGGUGAAAUGCGCAGGUAUCAGGAGGAACACCGAUGGCGAAGGCAGGUCACUGGGCCGCAACUGACGCUGAGGAGCGAAAGCAUGGGGAGCGAACAGG